CCAAUUUACAAACUAAAAAAAAACCGUUAACCGUGCAUACCAUGAACACAUAUUGACCUGCUACCAUAUAUAUUUAAUUAUUAAGCAAACAAAGCCUGCACAAACACCAAAAGUAUUCAUAACAUAACCAAAACAAUCCACCAUCCAAGCCAUUUACACCUUCACGCAAAUUUCGACCAGGAAUUCAAUAAUUCAAUUU
rnacentral:lncRNA from 1 species